GAUGAACGCUAGCGGCAGGCUUAACACAUGCAAGUCGAGGGGCAACACGGGUAGCAAUACCUGGUGGCGACCGGCGCAAGGGUGCGUAACGCGUGAGCAACAUGCCCUAUACAGGGGGAUAAUCCAGGGAAACUUGGUCUAAUAUCCCAUAGUAUUUAGAGGUGGCAUCACCACUAAAUUAAAGCUUCGGUGGUAUAGGAUUGGCUCGCGUGACAUUAGCUGGAUGGUGGGGUAACGGCUCACCAUGGCGAUGAUGUCUAGGGGUUCUGAGAGGAAGACCCCCCACACUGGGACUGAGACACGGCCCAGACUCCUACGGGAGGCAGCAGUGAGGAAUAUUGGACAAUGGAUGGAAAUCUGAUCCAGCCAUGCCGCGUGCAGGAAGACGGCCCUAUGGGUUGUAAACUGCUUUUUAUAUGGGAGCAGUAAGGUUUACGCGUAGACCGAUGAGAGUACCAUAUGAAUAAGCAUCGGCUAACUCCGUG
rnacentral:rRNA from 1 species